CCGGGGCCCGGCGGGGGUGGCGCUGCCUCCGCCUCCUCCCGGCCCGAGUCCCAGCCCCGCCGAAGGGAGGGAGCGCGGCCGGCCGCGAACGAACGGGGCUUCCUCCGCUCCCAGUUCCGAGGUUCUGUAAGCGGAGGAGCCCUUUGCUAGCAUCAGGCUAUGAGUUGCUAUGUAAGAUGAACUGUAGGCGUUUACUUGCCCGUCUGUCUGAAUUUGCCUCAUCCUACCUCGGUGGAUGGCUUGGCCUCUGGGAUAGUCCAAGACUCUUGGAUGACCACGCUUUAUGCAAAAUCCAGAAUCUUCCUGCCUGGACUCCUCUCUGUUUUCUAAGGGUAACUACUUUGUAUGUUUUUAUGAAAUUGUAUCUUAUGUGCACAGGACAUGUUCUGAUAAUGGGCUGCAGAUGUUAUAUGUGGAUUAGAAUGGUAAACUGAAAUAUGUCUUUUAAAAAUGAGAUAUAUAAUAUAAAGUGAGGUAAAAACUUUGGUUUGAGUAUUCUGAAUUUCCUUUACUAUUUUUUCCUUGAUAAGGAGGGAAUUAUUACAAUGCAAUAAAGCAUUGCUUUAAGAUCA
rnacentral:lncRNA from 1 species